rnacentral:rRNA from 1 species
GGAGGGUGCAAGCGUUGUUCGGAAUUAUUGGGCGUAAAGAGCGUGUAGGCGGUCCGGUAAGUCAGAUGUGAGAGCCCUGGGCUCAACCCAGGAAGUGCAUUUGAAACUACCAGACUUGAGUACGGGAGAGGAGGGGGGAAUUCCCGGUGUAGAGGUGAAAUUCGUAGAUAUCGGGAGGAAUACCAGUGGCGAAGGCGCCCCUCUGGACCGAUACUGACGCUGAGACGCGAAAGCGUGGGGAGCAAACAGGAUUAGAUACCCUGGUAGUCCACGCCGUAAACGAUGAACACUAGGUGUAGCGGGUAUUGACCCCCCUGCUGUGCCCGUAGCUAACGCAUUAAGUGCUCCGCCUGGGGACUACGGUCGCAAGACUA